CUUCUUACUUCUACCAAGGAACAAACCGUAACUUAUCAAUCGAGUGAAAAAGGAGAACUAACAGGAUUGGACAGCUGAUCUUAAAGGCAAGUAAAGUGCAACCCUUUGAACUGGAUUUAAAUAAAGAAGAGAGAAGACACAACUGUCAAAAAUGUGUGCAUUCUACUAUAUAGUCAAAGGCGUCGACUCUGUGACCCAGAGAAUUAACCAUGACAGCGCUUGGAAAAAUUCCUACCUUUCAUGAAACACCCCACUUUUGGAAUUUUUUUCAUUAUGUUGAAAAGUAUCUGUGAUUUAAUCACAAAAAUGUAUGGAAAUAAUAAAAAUGACCUUAAAAUUGAAUGGGAUUAUUUGUAGACUAAUAUGACCCAUUUUGUUGCUUCAUUUUUCUUUCCAUAUUAAAGACUAUUCUAAACUCUAAUAUUUUCAAUAAAUGAGACUGAAAUCCAA